AGUAUCGAAGUAAUCUUUUUGCACGCAAAAAAGGUUUUAACUUGCACGAGCUUCGUUGCAAUUCUAUCAGCAAUGUGUUUCAGGAAUAAAAAUAAUGAUAUCUCAAAUGGCUUUUUAAUUUGAUCUGCAAAGGUAAUAUUUCACCGGGUAGGAAUAUCAUAAACAGAUCGAAGAUGAUACAAAGGUGUCUUUACAAUGGCGUCUUUGCAAAUGAGGCCGGUUGUCGGGACGAGAAUUACCCUAAACUCCACACAAAAAAAUUGAUGUAAGUAUAGAAGGCAUACUAAAGAUUGCAUCAAAAAAGUCAUUGGUACUUUUUGUACUGCUAAACAACACACUCGUCUGGAACGAAUGCUUUUUCAUAUGAUUGACUAGUCAAAUGCUGUUCUAGAUAGCUAUAAGGAAGGAAUUUCGAUGCUAUACAUAAGAAUUAAAUUCACAUUUUGUCCUGAGAAACACUGUAAAGCGCUUAAACCACGAUACGUCAUCAAAUAUGGCAUCGAAGAAGUGAUUUUUCUAGACCAUUGAUACAAAUGAGUGAAAGAAGCACAGCUUGAAAACACAAACCAAAGCAACAAAUUAUCGAGCACUACAUAACCAAUAGAACUAUCUGAUUAUCUCAUAAUAAGGAAAAUAUAGUGCUGGAUCAUAAACAUUUCAAGAAGGUGAGCCUCGUUUUGAGGCUUUAUAUCCAGACUACCAUCUUGUUGUUUAUGACGUCAAUUGAUUGUUAUGAAGAGCCUCAGUUUCAUCUCGCCGUAGAGUAUCAAGUUGAUUGUGACGUCACAUUGAUUAACGCCAAUAAAAGGAGCAACAAUCAACUGAGCAUUCGUCAGUUCAGUGGCUACGGUAACUGCAUUGACUCUUUUUAAAGUUGAGUUGAAAAUCUCAAACUUUUAGUCGUCGUUCAGAGUGAGAUAUAUUUUUCGAGAGAAGAAACAAACACAGCAUGGGUUGCUGUCUUUCAAAGUUCCAGAGGCCUAAUGAAGCCUCACCAACCAAACGAAUGUCAUCGACGCUUAACAGAAUAUCCAAAAUAUUUCGAAGAAGCAAAGGCAUUCAAAAAGGUGAGAUGGAUGAGUAUAUCAUUUGUCACUUAUUUUGUUUUUUUCUCGGCUAAAGCGGGUGAUUUUAUCAAAGUUCCAUUCUUAUUGUACGAAUAUGACUAGAAUGGAAUUAUCUUUUUUUAAUGUACAUCUUUGAUACAUAGUAAGUUCUUCGAUAGACCAAUUGAACACUGCUAAAUUUACCCUUUUCAUUUUAGAACGGUCUUUAUCAGUCGACGAGCAGAGAACUCUUGCAAAAGAAAACACAUCUCGGGUCAUUUUCAGAGCUAGAGACAACAAUAAAGGAGAAAAAUUGCCACAAUCCACAAACUCAAGUGGAAAUUUCCAUUUCAAAGCCAAUCAGCAAAUGCAUCAUGCACAUAGCCGGAUCAAUUCAUUGGCAGCAAAAGAUCAAACCAGUCACGCAUAUGGUGCAAAGAGGCACCCUUUACCCUAUCUUGUCCCUUGCAGUGGCAACGUCGUAGAUCCACAGUCGUAUCCAAAGAGCACACCUGACAGCGUGCUCAAUGUCAUCGAACAUUUUCGCCAGAAGAUUGAAAAAUUUGCAGCCAUGGAUGACGAUCCGCUCGACUCCAACUACCAACAAGAUUCAGGAUAUGAAGAUUCAGUGUAUAGCGCAGAGUCGUCAUGUUUAGCUCAAGACGAUACGUGUCACGGAGAGGUGUCCAUGUGUUCCGAAGAAGAUGAAAGCACAAGCAUGUACGAAGACGAAGAAGAUCAACAAGAACUGCCAAGCAAGGACAGUUAUGCUAAGAACGCAACAUUAAAUGAUCUUCCAUUACAUCUCAAAGUGUCAAUGGAAUUUCCUAGAUUUCCACAAAACAACGGCCCAGA